rnacentral:lncRNA from 1 species
UUUUAAUGCAUAGUUGAAUCAUGUAAUAACAUAUGAUGAAUUUCAAAGAGGUUUGGAACCUUUGUUGUCUCCGUUUCUCUAGGGAAUAGCAAUUUUAUAGUGGUUAGUCUAAUGAUUUAGGGAGUAUUUGCAGUUUUGCUAAAUUAAUUGAUAAAAAAUUAGAACGAUUUACAUGUACCAUGAAAAAGAUUUUAUCAUAAAUUAAUAAAAAUGUAUAAUGUGGUUAUAAAUUUUAAAACGAAUUAAAAGAUAAUAAGCUUCAUAUAUAGAUCAUUUAUCGAAAACUCACUAUUUUCGUAGGGGGGCUCACAUAGAUUUUGAGAAAAAUUCAAAAAAUUUGACAAUACUGUUUUAAUGCAUAGUUGAAUCAUGUAAUAACAUAUGAUGAAUUUAAAAGAGGUUUGGAACCUUUGUUGUCUCUGUUUCUCUAGGGAAUAGCAAUUUUAUAGUUGUUAAUCCAAUGAUUUAGGGAGUAUUUGCAGUUUUGCUAAAUUAAUGGAUAAAAAAUUAGAACGAUGUCCAUGUACCAUGAAAAGAAGUUUAUCAUACAUUAAUACAAAGUUAUAAUGUGGUUUUAAAUUUUAAAACAAAUUUAAAGAUUAUAGGCUUCAUAUAUAGAGCAUUUACCGAAAACUCACUAUUUUCGUAGGGGGAUACACAUAGAUUUUGAGAAAAAUUCAAAAAAUUAGACAAUACUGUUUUAAUGCAUAGUUGAAUCAUGUAAUAACAUAUGAUGAAUUUCAAAGAGGUUUGGAACCUUUGUUGUCUCCGUUUCUCUAGGGAAUAGCAAUUUUAUAGUUGUUAGUCCAAUGAUUUAGGGAGUAUUUGCAGUUUUCCUAAAUUAAUGGAUAAAAAAUUAGAAAGAUGUCCAUGUUCCAUGAAAAGAAGUUUAUCAUACAUUAAUACAAAGUUAUAAUGUGGUUUUAAAUUUUAAAACAAAUUUAAAGAUUAUAGGCUUCAUAUAUAGAGCAUUUACCGAAAACUCACUAUUUUCAUAGGGGGGUACAAAUAGAUUUUGAGAAAAAUUCAAAAAAUUUGAGAAUACUGUUUUAAUACAUAUAUGAAUCAUGGAAUAGCAUAUGAUGAAGUUCAAAGAGGUUUGUAACUUUUUUUGUCUCCGUUUCUCUAAGGAAUAGCAAUUUUAUAGUGGUUAGUCCAAUGAUUUAGGGAGUAUUUACAGUUUUGCUAAAUUAAUUGAUAAAAAAUUAGAAAGAUGUCCAUGUACCAUGAAAAGGAGUUUAUCAUAUAUUAAUACAAAUGUAUAAUGUGGUUAUAAAUUUUAAAACGAAUUAAAAGAUUAUAGGCUUCAUAUAUAGAGCAUUUACCGAAAACUCACUAUUUUCGUAGGGGGGUACACAUAGAUUUUGAGAAAAAUUCAAAAAAAUUGAAAAUACUGUUUUAAUACAUAUUUGAAUCAUGUAAUAAAAUAUGAUGAAGUUCAAAGAGGUUUGGAACCUUUGUUGUCUCCGUUUCUCUAAGGAAUAGCAAUUUUAUAGUGGUUAGUCCAAUGAUUUAGGGAGUAUUUACAGUUUUGCUAAAUUAAUUGAUAAAAAAUUAGAACGAUGUCCAUGUACCAUGAAAAAAAGUUUAUCAUAAAUUAAUACAAAUGUAUAAUGUGGUUAUAAAUUUUAAAACGAAUUAAAAGAUUAUAGGCUUCAUAUAUAGAGCAUUUACCGAAAACUCACUAUUUUCGUAGGGGGGUACACAUAGAUUUUGAGAAAAAUUCAAAAAAUUUGAGAAUACUGUUUUAAUACAUAUAUGAAUCAUGGAAUAGCAUAUGAUGAAGUUCAAAGAGGUUUGGAACCUUUGUUGUCUCCGUUUUUCUAAGGAAUAGCAAUUUUAUAGUGGUUAGUCCAAUGAUUUAGGGAGUAUUUACAGUUUUGCUAAAUUAAUUGAAACAAAAUUAGAACGAUGUCCAUGUACCAUGAAAAGAAGUUUAUCAUAAAUUAAUACAAUGGUAUAAUUUGGUUUUAAAUUUUAAAACGAAUUAAAAUAUUAUUGGCUUCAUAUGUAGAGCAUUUACCGAAAACUCACCAUUUUCGUAGGGGGGUACACAUAGAUGGAAAACUCACUAUUUUCGUAGGAGGGUACACAUAGAUUUUGAGAAAAAAUCAAAAAAAUUGAGAAUACUGUUUUAAUACAUAUUUGAAUCAUGUAAUAAAAUAUGAUGAAGUUCAAAGAGGUUUGGAACCUUUGUUGUCUCCGUUUUUCUAAGGAAUAUCAAUUUUAUACUGGUUAGUCCAAUGAUUUAGAUAGUAUUUACAGUUUUUCUAAAUUAAUUGAUACAAAAUUAGAACGAUGUCCAUGUACCAUGAAAAUAAUUUUAUCAUACAUUAAUACAAUGGUAUAAUGUGGUUUUAAAUUUUAAAACGAAUUUAAAUAUUAUUGGCUUCAUAUAUAGAGCAUUUACCGAAAACUCACUAUUUUUGUAGGGGGGUACACAUAGAUUUUGAGAAAAAUUCAAAAAAUUUGAGAAUACUGUUUUAAUACAUAUUUGAAUCAUGUAAUAAAAUAUGAUGAAGUUCAAAGGAAAAAUCAAAAAAUUUGAGAAUACUGUUUUAAUACAUAUAUGAAUCAUGGAAUACCAUAUGAUGAAGUUCAAAGAGGUUUGUAACCGGUGUUGUCUCCGUUUCUCUAGGGAAUAGCAAUUUUAUAGUGGUUAAUCCAAUGAUUUAGGGAGUAUUUGCAGUUUUGCUAAAUUAAUGGAUAAAAAAUUAAAAAGAUGUCCAUGUACCAUGAAAAGAAGUUUAUCAUACAUUAAUACAAAGGUAUAAUGUGGUUAUAAAUUUUAAAACAAAUUUAAAGAUUAUAGGCUUAAUGUAUAGAGCAUUUACCGAAAACUCACUAUUUUCGUAGGGGGGUACACAUAGAUUUUGAGAAAAAAUCAAAAAAAUUGAGAAUAUUGUUUUAAUACAUUAUGAGUCAUGGAAUAACACAUGAUGAAGUUCAAAGAGGUUUGUAACCUUUGUUGUCUCCGUUUCUUUUGGGAAUAGCAAUUUUAUAGUUGUUAGUCCAAUGAUUUAGGGAGUAUUUGCAGUUUUGCUAAAUUAAUGGAUAAAAAAUUAGAACGAUGUCCUUGUACCAUGAAAAGAAGUUUAUCAUACAAUAAUACAAAGGUAUAAUGUGGUUUUAAAUUUUAAAACAAAUUUAAAUAUUAUUGGCUUCAUAUAUAGAGCAUUUACCGAAAACUCACUAUUUUCGUAGGGGGGGUACACAUAGAUUUUGGGAAAAAUUCAAAAAUUUGAGAAUACUGUUUUAAUACAUAUUUGAAUUAUGUAAUAAAAUAUGAUGAAGUUCAAAGAGGUUUGGAACUUUUGUUGUCUCCGUUUCUCUAAGGAAUAGCAAUUUUAUAGUGGUUAGUCCAAUGAUUUGGGGAGUAUUUACAGUUUUGCUAAAUUAAUUGAUGAAAAAUUAGAACGAUGUCCAUGUACCAUGAAAAGGAGUUUAUCAUAAAUUAAUACAAAUGUAUAAUGUGGUUAUAAAUUUUAAAACGAAUUAAAAGAUUAUAGGCUUCAUAUAUAGAGCAUUUACCGAAAACUCACUAUUUUCGUAGGGGGGUACACAUAGAUUUUGAGAAAAAUUCAAAAAAUUUGAGAAUACUGUUUUAAUACAUAUUUGAAUCAUGUAAUAAAAUAUGAUGAAGUUCAAAGAGGUUUGGAACCUUUGUUGUCUCCGUUUCUCUAAGGAAUAGCAAUUUUAUAGUGGUUAGUCCAAUGAUUUAGGGAGUAUUUACAGUUUUGCUAAAUUAAUUGAUAAAAAAUUAGAACGAUGUCCAUGUACCAUGAAAAGGAGUUUAUCAUAAAUUAAUACAAAUGUAUAAUGUGGUUAUAAAUUUUAAAACGAAUUAAAAGAUUAUAGGCUUCAUAUAUAGAGCAUUUACCGAAAACUCAUUAUUUUCGUAGGGGGGUACACAUAGAUUUUGAGAAAAAUUCAAAAAAUUUGAGAAUGCUGUUUUAAUACAUAUUUUAAUCUUGUAAUUAAAUAUGAUGAAGUUCAAAGAGGUUUGGAACCUUUGUUGUUUCCGUUUCUCUAAGGAAUAGAAAUAUUAUAGUGGUUAGUCCAAUGAUUUAGGGAGUAUUUACAGUUUUGUUAAAUUAAUUGAUAAAAAAUUAGAACGAUGUCCAUGUACCAUGAAAAUAAGUUUAUCAUAAAUUAAUACAAAUGUAUAGUGUGGUAAUAAAUUUUAAAACGAAUUAAAAGAUUAUAGGCUUCAUAUAUAGAGCAUUUACCGAAAACUAACUAUUUUCGUAGGGGGUACAAAUAGAUUUUGAGAAAAAUUCAAAAAAUUUGAGAAUAUUGUUUUAAUACAUAUAUGAAUCAUGGAAUAGCAUAUGAUGAAGUUCAAAGAGGUUUGUAACCUUUGUUGUCUCCGUUUCUCUAGAGAAUAGUAAUUUUAUAAUGGUUAGUCCAAUGAUUUAGGGAGUAUUUGCAGAUUUGCUAAAUUAAUGGAUAAAAAAUUAGAACGAUGUACCAUGAAAAGAAGUUUAUCAUACAUUAAUACAAUGGUAUAAUGUGGUUUUAAAUUUUAAAACGAAUUAAUAUAUUAUUGGCUUCAUAUAUAGAGCAUUUACAGAAAACUCACUAUUUUCGUAGAGGGGUACACAUAGAUUUUGAGAAAAAUUCAAAAAACUUGAGAAUACUGUUUUAAUACAUAUUUGAAUCAUGUAAUAAAAUAUGAUGAAGUUCAAAGAGGUUUGGAACCUUUGUUGUUUCCGUUUCUCUAAGGCAUAUCAAUUUUAUAGUGGUUAAUUGGAACCUUUGUUGUUUCCGUUUCUCUAAGGAAUAUCAAUUUUAUAGUGGUUAGUCCAAUGAUUUAGGGAGUAUUUACAGUUUUGCUAAAUUAAUUGAUAAAAAAUUAGAACGAUGUCCAUGUAUCAUGAAAAGAAGUUUAUCAUACAUUAAUACAAUGGUAUAAUGUGGUUUUAAAUUUUAAAACGAAUUAAAAUAUUAUUGGCUUCAUAUAUAGAGCAUUU